UACGGAGGGAGCUAGCGUUGUUCGGAAUUACUGGGCGUAAAGCGCGCGUAGGCGGCUUUGUAAGUUAGAGGUGAAAGCCCGGGGCUCAACCCCGGAACUGCCUUUAAGACUGCAUCGCUUGAAUCCGGGAGAGGUGAGUGGAGUUCCGAGUGUAGAGGUGAAAUUCGUAGAUAUUCGGAAGAACACCAGUGGCGAAGGCGGCUCACUGGACCGGUAUUGACGCUGAUGUGCGAAAGCGUGGGGAGCAAACAGG
rnacentral:rRNA from 1 species